rnacentral:rRNA from 1 species
GAUGAACGCUGGCGGCGUGCCUAAUACAUGCAAGUCGAGCGAACGGACGAGAAGCUUGCUUCUCUGAUGUUAGCGGCGGACGGGUGAGUAACACGUGGAUAACCUACCUAUAAGACUGGGAUAACUUCGGGAAACCGGAGCUAAUACCGGAUAAUAUUUUGAACCGCAUGGUUCAAAAGUAAAAGACGGUCUUGCUGUCACUUAUAGAUGGAUCCGCGCUGCAUUAGCUAGUUGGUAAGGUAACGGCUUACCAAGGCAACGAUGCAUAGCCGACCUGAGAGGGUGAUCGGCCACACUGGAACUGAGACACGGUCCAGACUCCUACGGGAGGCAGCAGUAGGGAAUCUUCCGCAAUGGGCGAAAGCCUGACGGAGCAACGCCGCGUGAGUGAUGAAGGUCUUCGGAUCGUAAAACUCUGUUAUUAGGGAAGAAUAUAUGUGUAAGUAACUGUGCACAUCUUGACGGUACCUAAUCAGAAAGCCACGGCUAACUACGUGCCAGCAGCCGCGGUAAUACGUAGGUGGCAAGCGUUAUCCGGAAUUAUUGGGCGUAAAGCGCGCGUAGGCGGUUUUUUAAGUCUGAUGUGAAAGCCCACGGCUCAACCGUGGAGGGUCAUUGGAAACUGGAAAACUUGAGUGCAGAAGAGGAGAGUGGAAUUCCAUGUGUAGCGGUGAAAUGCGCAGAGAUAUGGAGGAACACCAGUGGCGAAGGCGACUUUCUGGUCUGUAACUGACGCUGAUGUGCGAAAGCGUGGGGAUCAAACAGGAUUAGAUACCCUGGUAGUCCACGCCGUAAACGAUGAGUGCUAAGUGUUAGGGGGUUUCCGCCCCUUAGUGCUGCAGCUAACGCAUUAAGCACUCCCCCUGGGGAGUACGACCGCAAGGUUGAAACUCAAAGGAAUUGACGGGGACCCGCACAAGCGGUGGAGCAUGUGGUUUAAUUCGAAGCAACGCGAAGAACCUUACCAAAUCUUGACAUCCUUUGACAACUCUAGAGAUAGAGCCUUCCCCUUCGGGGGACAAAGUGACAGGUGGUGCAUGGUUGUCGUCAGCUCGUGUCGUGAGAUGUUGGGUUAAGUCCCGCAACGAGCGCAACCCUUAAGCUUAGUUGCCAUCAUUAAGUUGGGCACUCUAAGUUGACUGCCGGUGACAAACCGGAGGAAGGUGGGGAUGACGUCAAAUCAUCAUGCCCCUUAUGAUUUGGGCUACACACGUGCUACAAUGGACAAUACAAAGGGCAGCGAAACCGCGAGGUCAAGCAAAUCCCAUAAAGUUGUUCUCAGUUCGGAUUGUAGUCUGCAACUCGACUACAUGAAGCUGGAAUCGCUAGUAAUCGUAGAUCAGCAUGCUACGGUGAAUACGUUCCCGGGUCU